rnacentral:rRNA from 1 species
GUAGGGAAUAUUGGGCAAUGGGCGGAAGCCUGACCCAGCCAUGCCGCGUGCAGGAUGAAGGCCUUCUGGGUUGUAAACUGCUUUUACCAGGGAAGAAAACACCCAUGCGUGGGGAACUGACGGUACCUGGGGAAUAAGCACCGGCUAACUCCGUGCCAGCAGCCGCGGUAAUACGGAGGGUGCAAGCGUUGUCCGGAUUUAUUGGGUUUAAAGGGUGCGUAGGCGGCCUUUUAAGUCAGUGGUGAAAGCCCGCGGCUCAACCGCGGAACUGCCAUUGAUACUGGAAGGCUUGAGUACAGACGAGGUAGGCGGAAUUGAAGAUGUAGCGGUGAAAUGCUUAGAUAUCUUCAAGAACACCGAUUGCGUAGGCAGCUUACUAGGCUGUAACUGACGCUGAGGCACGAAAGCGUGGGGAGCGAACAGG